AAAAGCCUCUAGCGAGGUGAGAGGUGCCCGUACCGCAAACCGACACAGGUAGGCGAGGAGAGAAUCCUAAGGUGAUCGAGAGAACUCUCGUUAAGGAACUCGGCAAAAUGACCCCGUAACUUCGGGAGAAGGGGUGCUUCUUAGGGUGUUAAAGCCCCGAGAAGCC
rnacentral:rRNA from 1 species